GAUGAACGCUGGCGGCGUGCCUAACACAUGCAAGUCGAGCGAACGGACGAGAAGCUUGCUUCUCUGAUGUUAGCGGCGGACGGGCGAGUAACACGUGGAUAACCUACCUAUAAGACUGGGAUAACUUCGGGAAACCGGAGCUAAUACCGGAUGAUAUCUUGAACCGUAUGGUUCAAAAGUGAAAGACGGUCUUUCUGUUUCUUAUAGAUGGUUCCGGGCUGCAUUAGCUAGUUGGUAAGGUAACGGCUUACCAAGGCGACGAUGCAUAGCCGACCUGAGAGAGUGAUCGGCCACACUGGAACUGAGACACGGUCCAGACUCCUACGAGAGGCAGCAGUAGGGAAUCUUACGCAAUGGGCGAAAGCCUGACAGAGCAACGCCGCGUGAGUGAUGAAGGUCUUCGGAUCGUAAAGCUCUGUUGUUAGGGAAGAACAUAUGUGUAAGUAACUGUACACAUCUUGACGGUACCUAAUCAGAAAGCCACGGCUAACUACGUG
rnacentral:rRNA from 1 species